AUACUUACCUGGAAGGGGAAAUAAUCAUGACCAUGAAGGUGGUUUUCUCAGGCUAUGGCUCAUCUAUUGCACUCCUGGACGUGCUGACCCCUGAAAUGUCCCAAAAUGCAGGAAACUCAACUGCAUAAUUUGUGAAAGUAGAGGACUACAUUCGCAUCCUUCCCUG
rfam:Cricetulus griseus cell line CHO-K1, whole genome shotgun sequence.